UACGUAGGGGGCAAGCGUUGUCCGGAUUUAUUGGGCGUAAAGAGCGUGUAGGCGGCCAAGCAGGUCCGCUGUGAAAACUCGAGGCUCAACCUCGAGACGUCGGUGGAAACCGUUUGGCUAGAGUCCGGAAGAGGAGAGUGGAAUUCCCGGUGUAGCGGUGAAAUGCGCAGAUAUCGGGAAGAACACCCGUGGCGAAGGCGGCUACUCGUGGGACGGUACUGACGCUGAGACGCGAAAGCGUGGGGAGCGAACAGG
rnacentral:rRNA from 1 species